CGAGUGAAGCGGUAACAGCUCAAAUUUGAAAUCUGGCCUCACGGUCCGAGUUGUAAUUUGUAGAGGAUGCUUCGAGCAUGGUCUGGCCUAAGUUCCUUGGAACAGGACGUCAUAGAGGGUGAGAAUCCCGUAUGCGGCCAGGUGCCUACGCUCAUGUGAAGCUCCUUCGACGAGUCGAGUUGUUUGGGAAUGCAGCUCAAAAUGGGUGGUAAAUUUCAUCUAAAGCUAAAUAUUGGCCAGAGACCGAUAGCGCACAAGUAGAGUGAUCGAAAGAUGAAAAGCACUUUGGAAAGAGAGUUAAACAGUACGUGAAAUUGUUGAAAGGGAAGCGCUUGCAACCAGACUUGCGCGCGGCCGAUCAUCCGGUGUUCUCACCGGUGCACUCGGCCGUGCUCAGGCCAGCAUCGGUUUUGGCGGCUGGAUAAAGGCCCUAGGAAUGUAGCUCCUCUCGGGGAGUGUUAUAGCCUAGGGUGCAAUGCAGCCUGCUGGGACCGAGGACCGCGCUUCGGCUAGGAUGCUGGCGUAAUGGUUGUAAGCGGCCCGUCUUGAAACACGGACCAAGGAGUCUAACAUCUAUGCGAGUGUUUGGGUGUCAAACCCAUACGCGUAAUGAAAGUGAACGGAGGUGAGAACCCUUAAGGGUGCAUCAUCGACCGGUCCUGAAGUUUACGGAAGGAUCUGAGUAAGAGCAUAGCUGUUGGGACCCGAAAGAUGGUGAACUAUGCCUGAAUAGGGUGAAGCCAGAGGAAACUCUGGUGGAGGCUCGCAGCGGUUCUGACGUGCAAAUCGAUCGUCAAAUUU
rnacentral:rRNA from 1 species